GACGGGGGGUCCUAGCGUUGUUCGGAAUCAUUGGGCGUAAAGCGUGUGCAGGUGGCUUUGUAAGUUAGGUGUGAAAGCCUUGGGCUUAACCCAAGAAGGGCACUUAAAACUGCAAAACUUGAGUAUGGAAGAGGGUCGUGGAAUUCCUGGUGUAGUGGUGAAAUACGUAGAUAUCAGGAGGAACACCGGUGGCGAAGGCGGCGACCUGGUCCAAUACUGACACUCAUACACGAAAGCGUGGGGAUCAAACAGG
rnacentral:rRNA from 1 species